rnacentral:lncRNA from 1 species
UUUUUUCCAACGUUGAAACCAAAGAAAUUGCUCAUUUAUUUUGUCCGUGUUUCUUCUGUAGGAUGAUAGAAAAUGUAAAGAAACGCCGACUUCGAAGGAGAAUACACCGUCGAAGAAUGGCUUCGCCGCCUCAUAACAUCGCCGGAUCCGUUAUACAGCAUCUAUGGGGACUUAAAUGCUUCUCAGACGACCAUAUUUCCCAUGGAUCUCAUCGUACUUGCACCGAUCUGGCUGUUUUUGCUCAUUCUAAACAGGUCUCGUUACAUAAAUGAUUUCACUCGAGUCUUUAUUUUCUGUUUUUUCUAACCUUCAAAGAGCAAAACUGGACACCAUGGAUUUAAGGAUCUCUGCGUUUAUUAUGUGGAUUUUUUGUCUAAGUUCAUCAUGUCGAUUUGAUUCUAAGAUUAACUAUUUCUUUUUCUCUUUUAAUAGGUUGUAGUUAUUGUUGAUGAUCUGAUCCUUAACUAUUUCUUUUUCUAUUUUAAUAGGUUGUAGUUGUUCUUGAUGAUCUGAUCCUCUUUCUAUAGACGUACGGUUUCGUAUUUUUGUUAUUCAUGUCUUACUGGCUGAUAAUGAUAAUUCAUUACAAUUCAAUUUUAUCCAACCCGCACCCGAUCCUUCGGGUCGGAUCAUGAACCGGUGACCCAGCAUCAAACCAAACCGGGGCUGGAUUGAUAUUGGAAUUUUGCAAAAUUAGGUCCAGUAACUUGCUCGGUUCAUUACUAAUGAUCAGUUCUCUCAGUCCCAGUGACCUGCUUCGUUCUUAAUUAGCAGAAACCUUGGUCCAUUAACCAGCUGCCUUCUUAUGUUAGGUUGAUGCGUCCACUAAUCUGCAAUUGGGUCUCUCUACUGACUAGUGUUGUCUUCAAUCUUCACAUUCCCUGUAAAUUAGUGGACCAAGAUCUGCAUAGGGUUCUGCCCAGCCCAAUGCUGUUUGCUUCAUUAAUGAAAGAACGAAGUUUAUCAGAAAUUUACAUCUAUAGAAUCUUUUGCUUUUGUUCAUUUCUAAAGAACCAAUCAUUAUUUUUCUUCUCCUUUAAACCUUAUUUUAUCGGAAUUGGUCAAAAUGUGUACUUGCUUUUUCUUCCUUGCAG